rnacentral:rRNA from 1 species
AUUGAACGCUGGCGGCGUGCUUAACACAUGCAAGUCGAUCGGUAACGCGGGGGCAACCCUUGCGACGAGCGGCGGACGGGUGAGGAACGCCGGGGAAUCUGCCUAUCAGCGGGGGACAACACGGGGAAACUCGUGCUAAUACCGCAUACGCUCUACGGAGGAAAGCCGGGGACCGCAAGGCCCGGCACUGAUAGAUGAGCCCAGGCCGGAUUAGCUAGUUGGCGGGGUAACGGCCCACCAAGGCGACGAUCCGUAGCUGGUCUGAGAGGACGAUCAGCCACACUGGGACUGAGACACGGCCCAGACUCCUACGGGAGGCAGCAGUGGGGAAUAUUGGACAAUGGGGGAAACCCUGAUCCAGCAACGCCGCGUGGGUGAAGAAGGCCUGCGGGUUGUAAAGCCCUUUCGGUAGGGACGAAAGCUCUCGACCUAACACGUCGGGAGGUUGACUUAACCUACAAAAGAAGCACCGGCUAACUCUGUGCCAGCCGCCGCAGUAACAC